rnacentral:lncRNA from 1 species
GCAAGAAUUGUCAUGCUUCAUGACACAAGAUGAUGUCCUGAAAGGAGGGAAAAGGAAACAUCCUCACAGCAGUGUGCUGGUGACAGACUGCUUCCUUCUGCUAUUUGUACUGCCUGUGGAUAAUGUGUUCACUGUGAAGGCUGACACGAUUUGCAUACUGUUAAGAAGAAAACUCCACUCAAAACAGAAGGCAGUGCCAGAGCAGAGACUUGGGCUGGUCCUGUCCAAUCCCACAUUCCUGUUGGAACUGAGCUCCAUGGCCAGGGGAACUGGGAAGAGGCAGAACCUCACAACAGGAGCUGUGCAGUGAAGAUGAUCUCACCACAACCAUAUCAAGGAGGAAGAGUUGACAAAGUAGCUGAUAGGACGGGAAAUGUUUCCACUUGUGAACCAUGAGGACAGUAAAAUGAACUCUUAGCUUGAAACUUGAAGACAUAAAAAAAGGUAUUUGGUUCAAAUACAGUUCAAAGGACUAAGAGUUCCCAUAUACUUCUGGAGUAUUCAUCUUUCUAGUGCAAGGAGUGCAAUUUAACUACACUCAGAGUCCUAAAUGUUGUGCUUAAAGUUACAACCAAAGGAAACUCUACAGUUAAUAAAAUCAAAAUACAGAGAGUGGGCUGGUCA